rnacentral:rRNA from 1 species
GAGCUUGCUCUCAAGAAGUUAGCGGCGGACGGGUGAGUAACACGUGGGUAACCUGCCCAUAAGACUGGGAUAACUCCGGGAAACCGGGGCUAAUACCGGAUAACAUUUUGAACUGCAUGGUUCGAAAUUGAAAGGCGGCUUCGGCUGUCACUUAUGGAUGGACCCGCGUCGCAUUAGCUAGUUGGUGAGGUAACGGCUCACCAAGGCAACGAUGCGUAGCCGACCUGAGAGGGUGAUCGGCCACACUGGGACUGAGACACGGCCCAGACUCCUACGGGAGGCAGCAGUAGGGAAUCUUCCGCAAUGGACGAAAGUCUGACGGAGCAACGCCGCGUGAGUGAUGAAGGCUUUCGGGUCGUAAAACUCUGUUGUUAGGGAAGAACAAGUGCUAGUUGAAUAAGCUGGCACCUUGACGGUACCUAACCAGAAAGCCACGGCUAACUACGUGCCAGCAGCCGCGGUAAUACGUAGGUGGCAAGCGUUAUCCGGAAUUAUUGGGCGUAAAGCGCGCGCAGGUGGUUUCUUAAGUCUGAUGUGAAAGCCCCGGCUCACCGUGGAGGGUCAUUGGAAACUGGAGACUUGAGUGCAGAGAAGAAAGUGGAAUUCAUGUGUAGCGGUGAAUGCGUAGAAUAUGGAGAACACCGUGCGAAGGCGACUUUUGGUCUGUACU